rnacentral:rRNA from 7 species
UACGACCUCAGCUCAGACGUGUCAACCC